rnacentral:rRNA from 1 species
UACGUAGGGUGCAAGCGUUGUCCGGAAUUAUUGGGCGUAAAGAGCUCGUAGGCGGUCUGUCACGUCGGCUGUGAAAUCCCGAGGCUCAACCUCGGGUCUGCAGUCGAUACGGGCAAGCUAGAGUACUGCAGGGGAGACUGGAAUUCCUGGUGUAGCGGUGAAAUGCGCAGAUAUCAGGAGGAACACCGGUGGCGAAGGCGGCCAGCUGGCGCUGACCUGACGCUGAGGCGCGAAAGCGUGGGGAGCGAACGGG